CACUCACCACCCCCUCCGGUAAAAUCACCCCCACCACCAUAUUACUAUCACUCCCCACCUCCACCAGUGAAAUCCCCACCACCACCGUACUACUACCAUUCUCCACCCCCACCGGUAAAAUCUCCGCCACCACCAUACUAUUACCACUCCCCACCUCCUCCGGUGAAAUCUCUACCACCACCGUACUAUUACCAUUCACCACCUCCUCCGGUGAAAUCUCCUCCUCCACCAUACUACUAUCACUCACCUCCUCCACCAGUAAAAUCUCCUCCGCCACCGUACUAUUACCACUCUCCACCUCCUCCAGUGAAGUCGCCUCCACCUCCUUAUUACUACCACUCACCUCCUCCUCCGGUGAAAUCCCCACCACCACCAUAUUAUUACCACUCACCACCCCCACCCGUCAAAUCUCCUCCACCUCCAUAUUAUUACCACUCACCACCUCCUCCGGUGAAAUCUCCACCACCACCAUAUUAUUACCACUCACCUCCUCCUCCGGUGAAAUCUCCACCACCACCAUAUUACUACCAUUCACCUCCCCCUCCAGUCAAAUCUCCACCACCACCAUAUUACUACCAUUCACCUCCCCCUCCAGUGAAAUCCCCACCACCACCAUAUUACUACCAUUCACCACCUCCUCCAGUGAAAUCUCCACCACCACCAUACUACUACAACUCUCCACCACCACCAGUAAAAUCUCCCCCACCUCCCGUCUACAUCUACGCUUCUCCCCCACCUCCUACCCAUUACUAGGCUCGUCAAAUUCAACCAAGUUUCCCCAUUAUUCAAGUAAGUCCCAAGGCUCCAAUAUUCUAAGUAUGCUCCAUAUC
rnacentral:lncRNA from 1 species